CGUGCCAGCAGCCGCGGUAAUACGUAUGGUGCGAGCGUUAAUCGGAAUUACUGGGCGUAAAGCGUGCGCAGGCGGUUAUGUAAGACAGAGGUGAAAUCCCCGGGCUCAACCUGUGAACUGCCUUUGUGACUGCAUAGCUGGAGUGCGGCAGAGGGGGAUGGAAUAUCCGCGUGUAGCAGUGAAAUGCGUAGAUAAUGCUGAGGAACACCGAUGGCGAAGUGCGCUCUGCUGGGCCAUAACUGACGCUCAUGGACGAAAGCCAGUGGAGCGAAAGGGAUUAGAUACCCCUGUAGUCCUGGCCGUAAACGAUGAACACUAAUGUGUCGGGGGAAUCGACCCCCUCGGUGUCGUAGCCAACGCGUUAAGUGUUCCGCCUGCGGAGUACGCACGCAAGUGUGAAACUCAAAUGAAUUGACGGUGGCCCGCACAAGCGGUGGAGCAU
rnacentral:rRNA from 1 species